CGGGAUGUAGUAUAACGGUAGUAUCUACGAUUCGGGUUCGUAGGGUCCGAGUUCAAAUCUCGGCAUCCCGA
rfam:Candidatus Taylorbacteria bacterium RIFCSPHIGHO2_01_FTLL_51_15 rifcsphigho2_01_scaffold_43225, whole genome shotgun sequence.